GCAAGAGCAAAAGGGGAGGAGCAGCAGAGAGUAAAUUUAUUUCCCUCCCUUAUAUUGUAUACAGGCUACCUGCCCUAGGGCGGGUGUAGCAGUCAUACCCGUAAUCCCAGCAUUGGACCAUGGAUCAGUCAAGAAUUCUAGAAGCCUCCUCCAUGACUGCAUGAGGCUUUCUGGGGACAUCUAGACACAAACCGUAAUGCCCAUCAAAGGUGUCACUGUUAAUGGACUGCACAUGACCUCCUUUCCUUCUGGAUGAUUCCUGCGACCAUCCUACGACUCUGUGCAAGAGAAAGGAAACACACUUGGCUUUCAAUGACCAUGUGUGUUUCUUCAAUUCAAGGAGCUGAGCCUUUAGUUCCAGGGGUUUCUGCCUGGCUGAAGAAAGCUGCCAGUUCAAGAACACUCUCAUCUAUUGGACGAGCCCUCACUACUGACAUCCCUUCCAAAGCACAGCCCAUCUUGGUGGGACUUUUGAUAUCCUCUCUGCCACCACCCUUGGGUAUCCCAAGGGAGAUGUAAGAGCCAGGAAGGUGGCAGCUUCUGGAAGCCUGUGCGGGAGUGCCGGGAGAGGACAAGGGCAGCGCAGGCCACUUGCUCGGUUAUAUAUGUAUAUUUUUGGUAUUUUUUGAGAGAGGGCUUCUCUCUGCAGUUCAGGCUGGCCUUGAAUUCACUUUGUAGCCCAGGCUGGCCUUAAACUCACAGUGAUCCUCCUGCCUCAGCCUCUGGAGUGCUGGGAUUACAGGUGUGCACCACCACCACUAUGCCUGGAGACUUGCUCAAUGAUAACACUGAGCAAAAGCCACAAAGAGAAGAAAAUAUUCCCGCACAUCUGUGCCGAAGACUUGUAAGAGCUGUGAAGAAGUGAUUUGAGUAGGCGUGUCAAAGUCCAUUAACCAAAAAGCAAGGGACACAUCUCUCUCUGUGUGACGGGAAGUAUUUGUCAUACAGUUGUGCUGUCACGGAUGGGCGCCAGCAGCAGCUGUUGCUCGCUGUUUGCACAUUAACUACACAAUCAUGGAGAUUGAUUUGGGAGCCUCGUCCUCAAACCCCUCCCCUGCCUGUCUUCACCUGUCUGCUCUCUCUUCCCUCACCCCUGCCCCCGCUGUCUGUUCUCCUCACUCCCACCCACCUCCUGCUUCCAUCUGGAAGCCUCAGAGCAGCUGUGGACAGAGCCAUAUGCUCCCCAGCCCUGACUCAGGCUGCUGUGCUUCUGGAUUGGCUCAAGGGGGAUUGUGAUCAGUGUUUACUGUUACCCUCACUAAGUCAGCUAAUGGUGAUGGCUAUUGAUUCGCCCAGUACAAACCUCUUCGUUUAUUAAGAGUCUUUUAUACAAUAAAAGGAGCAUUAUUGAAAGACAAAUAAGAACAUCUAUCUUUAUUUAUCUAAAAUGGGUAAGCAUAAAACUGUGUCUCUGGCUCUGUCCUGUUGGACAUUUUUA
rnacentral:lncRNA from 1 species